UACGGGGGGUGCAAGCGUUGUCCGGAUUUAUUGGGUUUAAAGGGUGCGUAGGCGGCUAUUUAAGUCAGUGGUGAAAUCCUGCAGCUUAACUGUAGAAUUGCCAUUGAUACUGGAUAGCUUGAGUACAGACGAGGUAGGCGGAAUUUAUGGUGUAGCGGUGAAAUGCAUAGAUACCAUAAAGAACACCUAUUGCGAAGGCAGCUUACUAGGCUGUAACUGACGCUGAGGCACGAAAGUGUGGGGAUCAAACAGG
rnacentral:rRNA from 1 species